GAUGAACGCUGGCGGCGUGCUUAACACAUGCAAGUCGAACGAUGAAGCCCAGCUUGCUGGGUGGAUUAGUGGCGAACGGGUGAGUAACACGUGAGUAACCUGCCCUUGACUCUGGGAUAAGCCUGGGAAACUGGGUCUAAUACUGGAUAUGACUUCUCAUCGCAUGGUGGGGGGUGGAAAGAUUUAUUGGUCUUGGAUGGACUCGCGGCCUAUCAGCUUGUUGGUGAGGUAAUGGCUCACCAAGGCGACGACGGGUAGCCGGCCUGAGAGGGUGACCGGCCACACUGGGACUGAGACACGGCCCAGACUCCUACGGGAGGCAGCAGUGGGGAAUAUUGCACAAUGGGCGCAAGCCUGAUGCAGCGACGCCGCGUGAGGGAUGACGACCUUCGGGUUGUAAACCUCUUUCAGUAGGGAAGAAGCGAGAGUGACGGUACCUGCAGAAGAAGCGCCGGCUAACUACGUG
rnacentral:rRNA from 1 species